GAUGAACGCUAGCGGCAGGCUUAACACAUGCAAGUCGAGGGGCAGCAUAAUGAAGUAGCAAUACUGAAUUGAUGGCGACCGGCGCACGGGUGCGUAACGCGUAUGCAACCUACCUAUAACAGGGGGAUAACACUGAGAAAUUGGUACUAAUACCCCGUAACAUCAGAGGAGGCAUCUUCUUUGGUUGAAAGUUCCGGCGGUUAUAGAUGGGCAUGCGUUGUAUUAGCUAGUUGGUGGGGUAACGGCCUACCAAGGCGACGAUCAGUAGCCGACCUGAGAGGGUGAUCGGCCACAUUGGAACUGAGACACGGUCCAAACUCCUACGGGAGGCAGCAGUGGGGAAUAUUGCACAAUGGGCGAAAGCCUGAUGCAGCAACGCCGCGUGAAGGAAGAAGGUCUUCGGAUCGUAAACUUCUGUCCUUAGGGAAGAUAAUGACGGUACCUUUGGAGGAAGCCCCGGCUAACUACGUG
rnacentral:rRNA from 1 species